GACAGAGACACAAAGACACAAAGACACGAAAACAAACGAAACGCUGAUGCUCGUCGUCCUCUCUUAUGAUUUUUUUUUGUUUAUCACAUUUUUUUAAAAAAAUUUAUUUAUUUA
rnacentral:ribozyme from 12 species